rnacentral:rRNA from 1 species
UUCGACCUCAAAUCAGGUAGGACUACCCGCUGAACUUAAGCAUAUCAAUAAGCGGAGGAAAAGGAUCAUUACAGAAUGAAAAG